CGUCACCGACCCCACCGCCUGUCCAUUGCCAGGACACGGCACCAACCCGAUCGUCAGCGGCUCGCCGAACGU
rnacentral:sRNA from 1 species